rnacentral:tRNA from 1 species
GCGGCCGUGGUCUAGCCAGGUAUGACGCGGGGGCCCCGGCCCCGAUGUCCCGGGUUCAAAUCCCGGCGGCCGCA